AGUAAAUAAGACAGAGGCAUUAAUACAACAACAUGUUAAUCUCCAGAAUUCGUCACGAGUCGGGAUAUUCUACAGACGGCUCCGAGAGCAGCGGGACCGAUUUCUACCUGAAUGACAACUUGGAGGAGACCUUGAAAUCAUCACAGCCAGAUUUCGGUAUACUGUUUGACGUGGACGGGGUGUUAGCCCGGGGGACGAACCCCCUGGAGCCCGCCGUGAAGGCCCUCAAGCUGCUGCAGGAUGAGGAGGGGAACCUGAAAGUCCCCGUGGCCUUCGUCACUAACGCCUGCAACAGGAGCGAGGACAAAGCCAGGCAGAUCAGCAAGUGGUUCAACGUACAGGUUUUACCGGAUAUGGUUAUCCACGCGCCAACUCCUGCCAAAUUAUUGACCGAGUUCCACGACAAGCACGUGCUGGUCAUCGGUCAAGAGCAUCGCAGAGACAUUGCCCUUGAUCUGUACGAUUGAAGACAUUCAGAAAGCUUACCCAUUCCUGGACAUGGUGGACCACGAUAACAGAAAACGCGUGGCUGCCGGGACGUACCACGACGACCCAUCCUUCCCCAGGGUAGAGGCGAUCCUGAUGAUCGGGGAGCCCAAACUAUGGGAGACCAACCUCCAGCUGCUGAUCGACCUCCUACUGACUGAAGGCAAGCCCACCCGGGCGCCCUCCUCUAUCAUGGGCGUCAAACCGCUGCCGAUAAUCGCCUGCAAUAUGGAUUUGGUAUUCAUGGACCGUGCCUGUAUGCCGCGAUUCGGCCAUGGCUCGUUCCUGCUAUGUCUGGAAAGCUUAUACAAGAAAAUUACGGGUCGUGAGUUGGACUACACAGCGCUGAUCGGGAAGCCUUGUGAAAUAACCUACAGGUACGCUGAGCACUGCAUUGCAGACGUUGCCCAGAAACUGGGAAUCCAAAACCCAAUAAAGAAGCUGUACUUUAUCGGUGACAACCCAUCUGUGGAUAUAGUGGGGGCCAACCUGUACCACCGGUUCCUGCGAAGACAGUCGGAGUGUAUCGACAAUGAAGAAGUGAACUACCUCCCUCGCUCCAGAUCCAUUCCAAACAACUCUCACCUCUACCAACAGACGGUGCUAGCCAUGGAGAGCCUUCUUGUGGGCACCGGGGUCUACAAACCGGAAGAGGAAGAGUCGUCUGAUGAUGACGUCGAUAUCUAUCAUGGACACCGUGACAUUGAAAACGAACCGGAACUCGCCAAACCCUCCAAAUUUGUGAUUGACGUGUACCACGGCAUUCGACAUAUUCUUGAUAAAGAGAACUUUUCUGUAAAGACUUAGUCGCUCGGUCAUCGACAAAGGGAAACCGUGAUCUGAAUGAAUGCUUGUGCAAAUGUACCUCUGAAUGCGAAAUCGAAAAAUAGGGCAUACAUGUAUUAUGUAGUAGUUUAUUUAUUUACUUUGUGAUGUUGACUUAUUGAGACAGACCAGUCUAUAAAUCAGUGUUGUGACACGUUAAUGGUGACAGCCUCGUCUCUGUACCAGACAUUGCAUGUGUGACUGUGAAUUGAAAACGGUAGUAAUGGGAAAGACACGUUUAUACAUGUGUAGGACUUGACAAAACGUGACAUAAUGGUACAAGUAUACAUGUAUAUGACAUAGGAGGGAUAAAACAUGUGGUAUAAUGGUACAAUUAUACAUAAUAAUGACUUGGAAGGGAUAAGACGUGAUAAAUUAGUACAAUAUACGUACAUGUAUAUGAUUAUAUAUAUUGUUUGUUCUCUAUCUUAUUUAUAAUAUGAGUUUUUUUACGUGAUUUUUUUUACUCUCAUUAUGUACUUUGAAAUAUGAAUAAAAUAAUUUUUUUAAUCAUUGG
rnacentral:misc_RNA from 1 species